ensembl:lncRNA
UGCUGUGUCACAGAGCUGCUGCUUUCUACAUUAUCGCAACUGCCAGAGCUCUUAGUGCUGCAGUUUUCUAGUCGCAGUGCGGCAAAGCAGACGCAUAGACCCAGGCACAAAGCAGCAUAGAUUUUUUAUUCUCAUCUUUUUUUUUUUUUGUCCGAGAGACGUUUUCCUGGUGUUAGCGCAGAAGCAGACAUGCAGCCUGGAUAUGCUGGCUCCAGCCUGGCAGCUCUUUCGGCUGAGCAGGGACUGUGUGGAGCUCGGUGCCCACGCUGCCGCUGAGGAAGAAAGCUGCUCUCCCACUCUGUGCCGUGACGAUACACCUGCAGCCACAAGACCGUGGAGAUGGCGGCACUUGUCUCUGUUUGCCUGACUGGGGCCUUUGCAGGUGCUCCUCUUCCGAAGCUGUGCUGGCGUUCCAGGGCCGUGCAGAUGGGUAAUACAAUUUGCUGCAGUUUCUUACAUCAGUGUAGCAAAGCUCAAGCGAACAACCAGACUCUGACCUAAAUCAGUCCCAGUUCUUCGGGAUACAGGGCAGCAGGCGACUGGCAGUGAUACAAUCAGCCAUCAAGUGGAGAGGCUCUGGGACUGCAAUCUGUAUGGGUUGGAGUCUGUGAGAAUGAAACAGUUCCCGUUAUCCGGUCGCUUCUCCUUCUAAUAAUACAAUUGCUACAACUGCUACUACUACCGCAUCUGUUUCUCCAUGCCUGAAAGAAGCUGCUCCUUGCGCCCUCUCUGUGUGGGUAUUUGCGCAGAUUAGUCUGUUGGUAAUGCAGCCCUUAUCUGCUUCUGCUGGAAACCAGGGCACGAAGUCAGCCUGCCUUAACAGUUGUUUCUUUCUGCGUGAUGCUAUGCAGCUAGAAUGGGUUACGCUGACAACAAAGGAGCCAGCACAAAGCAUCACUUUAUUUGCUGGACUGCUACAGGAACCCGACUCUUCUUCGCUACGAAGCCCUGUUCUCUUCCCUUUUUGUUUUUUGUUUUUUGUUUUUUUUAUGUAAUUCAUCUAAUUGAAGAGCCUAACAGACACCAUCGUGGAUGUGGGUUUUAAUGAUUUGGAAAAGACAGCCUGUGGAGACUGCGAUUGGAGACUGCAACACGCUUAGGUUAUUGCCAAUUUGAAAUACUUGGUUUGUGAAGCACAGCCCUAAGGGACAAGCGCAGUAACUGAGAGAGAGAUCGUAGAUAAAGAAAUAAAAAUGACAAGCAUAAUGGAGGCUCUGCAAGAAACUGUCAGGGAAUCAGUUCAUGGAUGGCAAUUUCACCAGUCUGAAUCUGAAUAAUUCAUAGAUUGAAAUUACCCUGCUUUCACCUUUCCAUUUAAACUGGCAUGAUCUGAAUCUCUAAUAAAUUUUCAAGAUAAAGUAAAAUGCCAAUUUGAAUCUGAAGAGCUUUUAAAACCAAAUGCUACACCCUGAGUCUUUCGAUACCUUUCACAAUUAUCCUGUGAGAGCCGCACUUCAUCACGAAGCACCAUUACCAGUGAAAAUUACGGUGAUUACAAUAGCAACAAUAGAAUACCGUCAAAUGAUCUCCAAUUUACCUAAUUUACCAAGGUUGACUGUGUGCCCAUUGUGCUUCACUACGUCUGGCAUUGGAUCAAUAUCACAGAGGAAGAAAAAUGCCUUAGUAUAUGCUUCCUUUUGGUGCCUUUAACUUUGACAGCACAGGAAAAUCUAUCUCCUGUUAAAUGUUUUUACAGCCCAUCUGCAUGCCUGCCAUAGGAUCUGAUUGAUUCUCCAUCAUUUUCUUUGGUUGCUGAGUAUUGGAUGUUAUUGUGUUACUAAUUUGUUUAUAACGUGUACUCCUGCACAAAGACUGCAGCAAACGAGUAACAGCACAGCGACUGCGCUGCUGCAGCAGUAGCACUGCACUCUCUCGCAGGGGAAGCCAAAAUGAGUUUGGUGCCUUAUGUGAAUAAUCACUUGCAUCUGGGUUAUAAAUGCUUCCAAACAUCACUCAUCUUGGUUGCACGACAUGAGAAAUGUGUGCAAAAGUCGUGGUCAAGGGAAAUGGUUAUCUGUAAUCCUAACAAGAUUUCCCCCCUAUCCAGCAAUCAGUAUGAGGCUGUGAGAGAUAAGCUGUGACUCUUUCUUUAAAUGUGUGUGUGUACAUACGCAUGCACGUACAUAGGAGACAAUCCCUGUGGAGCUGAUAGCUGUGGACUAAUGACUGGUAUACCAAGCAGAUAAGCUGUGGACAUUUUUCAGUGUUAACAUAAUGACUUUCAUCAAAGGAGGAAGAAGUCUACUUAUUUUUCAUUUUGUUAAGGUGAAAUCCUCAUAUUGUAUGGAUUGCUCAGACUUCACCAAAUUCCAUAGAACUACGACAAGUAACAGCAGUUGAUGAUCUACCCAACAUGUGUACCAUGUUGGCCAACACAGCAAAAAUGUAAAUUCUGCCUUGAGGAAAUCACCUUUUUCAAUGAGCUCAUGGAUUGGAUAGCAGUACACGCCCUUUGUCUUUCUUGGGCCUGGGGCAACCCAAAGCCUCUCUGAAUCUGAGUCAGGCAAAGAGGAGUUGUCCCACUGCUGGCACCUGCAAGUGAACGUUGUAAAGUUCAGUUGUCAACUCUUUCUUUAAUGAAAUUCUGAAAGUGUUAUUUACAGUUAAACCCAGUAUUUUCUAAAUUGAGUGUCACCUCUAAUUCUCUAAGGUGACAACAAAGAUAUGAGUGAGCUGCUGUCUGGUGACUUUCCUUUUCCAGGGCCUUCAGAUGUUCUUCUACCUGACAAACAGCUCCAGUGACAUGAUGUUUUCAGGAGGUUCAUCAUUGGCUUCAGUGUACCCAGAUUUCAGAUUCAACUUCUGCUGUCAGAAAUUCUCACAGCACUCUUUUCCAAGAAGGACAGAAAUCUUCUGUUUCCUUUUUCCCAUAUUAUCAACAAAACAUCCGUAAUCACACUUUCUUUUUCUACAUAUUUUCCCAGUAGAAGCUUGAGACUUGAUAUCUCACCUCCAACUGUCUGCUUUCAGUCACUACAACUUCUAGGUCAUGUAACUAAAUUAAAAAAAUAAACUUAUAAUGAAUAAGAAAAGAUUUCUUUGAAAUAAAAUGUAGUAACAUACAAAUAAUUUUUUUGCAUUUUCAACCACUGAAGCAGAACAGUAGUCAUUUAGUGUAUAUCAUAACUUGAGGUAAACCAGUAUUUUUUCAGGACAUAGAAUGAGAGAUAACUUUUCUGUUGUUCCCUAAUGAACUGAAGUCAACAUGCUAGUUUUCUUUCUGUGUUAUCUUGAAAUAAAACAACUACAUAAUAACAGAAGGUUUAUUUUCAUUAUCAUAUGAAAGAGAGACACAAACAUGCAAAAUUUUUUCAUUUUUAAAAAGGAUUAAUUUGUAAAUAUCAAUCUAUAACAUAUAAAAUAAAUAACCCUGCUUGAAAGAAUAGAAAAAGUUUUGUAUUUGUUUAGUUAUUGAGUAGAGAAUCAUGAACAUUUGCAUAAACAGUAGAUUCAGAUUAUCCUUUACCAUUAUUCUUUACUUGCUGGAAUGGAUACCUGGUAAUAAUCAAUCAUACCAGAACUAUAGCUGAUAAUGGAUGAUUAAAGGCUAGGGAACAGAUGUAAAGGGAAAGUAGAACUUUUUUUUUUUUUUUUUUUCCUGAGGUUCUUAUGUGGUUCUGCUUUAUUCCCUUCUACCAAGUUCAACCAAGUUCUGUGUAACAUAAGGGACUAAAUUAGGACUGGAUUUGGACUGUUUCCCAUCCUGUGAAAACAUCCCUUUCUUGAACUGAGAGAAAAAAGAUAUUACAAAUUAAGACCUUGAUAAAGUUUUGGAACUAAAAAUAAUGAUAAUGUCAAAAGAGUCAAUGGCAAUAUUUCUUUUAGGUUAUCUAAGAAUAUUUGGAUUGUACUAGAACUAGUGUAUAUUUUGUAACUAAAAGCCAUUUUUGAGAGAACAAAACCUUUGAAGUGUUAAAAAUGUGUUUUUAUCAAAUUCAGUUUUUCAGUGUUUUGAAAUCUUAUUUGAUCCACUUCCUACCAUGUUUUGGCUUAGACAAAUAGGUGUGUUUUUGGAUGAAAAUCAUUUCAUCUAAAAGUUCCAAGCUACUUUUGCUGUUCACAAUAAACCAUAGAAAUAUCACAGGAAACUUCUGGUAUAUACAGCGUCUUAAUCAGCUGGAAUUUGAAUAAUAUGCAGACACAUAUCUAACUCAUUCCCAAAUGACUAGGAAAUCUGUGUCACAUAUGCUUUUCAAAAAGGGAGUUCUCAAAAAAUUUAAUUAAACAAGAGAAUGAAACACAGCUUGUUCAGUUUGAGGUUGUUCUUUUUUUCUUUCUUUCUUUUCUUUCUUUUUUUUUCUUUCUUUCUUUUUUUUUUUUUUUUUUUGGUAUUUAUUUAAAAUCAUCAUUCCAAUCACUCCAUUUUGUUUCCUAAUGUAUAUAUCUGUUUAAACCCUAUAAGUUCCUUAAAUAAAUUUGAGUUUUCUUUUGUUGGCAUCCCAAGAAUUCAGAUCACUGAGAAAUCUACCUGAGAACUCAAAAGAUGAUUAAGACCAUAGUGGGCAAACACACGUGCUUGACUACACAGGUAUUAGCAUGCAGUCAUCUACAGCACAAAUGUAUGCUUCUAUACCAGUUUCAGGCUCCUAGUUUUCUUUUUUGACCCAGUGGAAGAGCAGAGCUUUACAAAGCAAAUCCUGAAUUUUCACAGGUAAUUUUUCACAGGCCUCCAGGCCUCUUAUAAAAAGCUUAUAUGUUCCCCGUGGGCUCCUUGUGGAAAGCAACAGCAAGCACCAAUGAGCCAAAAUUAUUCCCACCAUUGAAACUCUUUAUAGUGCACAAAGACUAUAAGGUACCUUUGUGCCACAUCUCUUUCAAAUCCAAUUUCUGUUUAAAAAUACAAGCCUGCUUUUGUAAGUGGUUUGUCCAAGGAACAGUGGGAAAUCUUUGCAUUAUCACUAACUGAUUGAUUAUAAAGUCUGAUAGUCCUGUGUUUUCUGAUUCUAAUUAAAGGGAUAUUAUUCAAAUAGAUUACAAAACUUUCCUCCUGGUCAAUAAAGAAUUUUGCUUGUGGCUCUAGACAGAAACAUUAAUGCAUUUCUUGUGCAUAACAAAGUGCUCAUGGCACCAGCAGAGACUUUGACUUCAUACAUAAACACUAUUAACACUUCUUAGUUGCCUUUUAAGGUGGUAGAGCAUGAGGGGCUCUGCCAGAGAGGCUUUAUAAGCUUUAUCAAACCCUACUGUGGCAGUUCAGGGGAUUACCAGCCACAGCUGUCUGCUUUCUGAAGGCAGAAUGCCAGCCCUCAGCUCACUUUGCUGUCCUGACUGUACUGCAGGUGUGAAUACAUUUUGGUCUCCUUAUGAUAUCUGCACACAAAAAAACAAGAGGAAAAAUCAGUGCAUGGAAAAGACAGUCUCCCUCUUCUUGAUCUCUCAGGGUACAGACAGUUACAGUCUAACAAAUCUAUUGGCAAUCAUCUCUGUAUUGACAGAGUUCAGGCUAAGAAUAACUGGAACUUUCUUUGGUUGUUUUUUGUUGUUGUUGUUGUUGUUGUUUGUUUGUUUGUUUUUGUUUUUUUUUUCUUUUUCUUCUUUUCCUUUUUGAGAGGGUGGGGAAUAUCUGAUCCAGUUGUCACACAGACCCAUAAACAAUGUUACAAGGUCAACUGAAAGACAGUAUAGGCUGGGAAUGAGCAGCUGGGGACUGUUCGGAUAGCACUGUCAGUGAAUGGCACUGCUUUCCUGCACUUGCACUCAAUCUGAGUUCGAGCAUUCAGAUAAUCAUCUAUGACAUCUGAGAUACAGGAGCAGUGCCCAGCAGGUGGGCCAGUACCUGCUUAAAUCUAGCCCAAGUCACUGGAAAGGACAUCUGCCUCUGCUCUCAGAUCUGAUGCUUCAGUGGCCCCACCGCAGCUGAGCAGUAAGAACUCUGCCGUGCAUUUAUGAACUGAUAUUUUUAAGAAACUCUUACUGUGAGAUGUAUUUUGAAUAAGUUUUAACUCAUUCAAAAAUGGCCAAAAAAUAAAAAAUAAAAAAAAUCCUGCUGUCAGAUGUGCCAAAUCAUUGCAACACAUGGAGGUACUAGAGCUUCUCAACAAAAAACAGUUGCAGAAAUAUUUUUAAGAUUCCUAAAAGAGCAACAUUUUCUCUUAGCCUUUGUUCAGCAAAAUCAUUUUAUCUGAAGCUUUUCACUCUGGGUCAUGUGCUGCUUUGGGAAAGGAAAGUCUGAAAAUGUUACAGGCACCUGAAAUUUCUGAAGAAUUCUUUUCUGAAGAAAAAAUCUGGGGCACCUGUGCCUAUGUUAUCUUCUAGUCUAAAAAAAACCUUGUCUCUCCUUUCUUCUUCUCUUGCAUCCAACCCCAGACAGUCAUGUUUCUAAGUAGACACUGGGGCUAGCAUACAAUACUAUAAGCAUAUCAAAAUGACUAAUAUGAAAGGGCUGAGUAAAAGGCCUUUAAAAAUAAACCAAAGAUAAAUCAUUAUUUAAGAAUUACUGUUUUGUUUGCUUGUCAUUAGACAUCUGUUCAUAGACACUGCAAAUGUUCCACUGUUUGUCUGGGUUUAAUCGUAACAACUUUGCAGAGGUGCCUUCUUCUUCCUCAUUGUUUUCACUUGGUUUCUAAGGCAAACAAUACCUAUUUUUUUUUCCAGGCCUUUUAAUUAUUUAAAGUUGCUAAAAUGCUAGAACUCAAUAAUUGCAUAGGAUGGAAAUUUAAAUCCAAACCUCAGAAUGUACCAAGUGUGUACAGUACCAGACCUUGUCUUGACCCCUGCCGCUGGUAGCCCCAGGACCUCCCUGCAGUGACUAGGUAUAAUUCAGGUCAGAACUUGACCCAAAAUAUGUAAAGCUAGCCCUCCCCUUCCUCCCUUCUCCCAGUCAGCUGCUCCCAUUUCCAGACCACAAAUAGUGUACUGAAUCCAAAUUGUUUACUUUGCUGGGAAUGCCAUCUGUGUGUUGGCAGCUGGGGUGGGAGGGAAGGCACACACACUGAACAACAGCGAUAAAUACAGACAGUGGACUAAAUUAGGAGUUCUGCUGCUUUCCAGUGCUCUGCAUCCUUGCGUGCUUCCAUUAAGUGGAUACAGUUCUUCUUAAACAGAUACUGAACAUCCAGAUUAUUCAGCAAGAGAUCAAAUUCAGAACAUUUGAAGAGAUAUAGAAAUAAGCCAAUCUGGGUAAAUACUAAGACUACUGAAAAGGUUUAUGUCAUUUAUGGCUAAAUUCACUUAACAUCUUACAGUACACUGGAACCAGCAAGGGGAAAUAAAAACAACAGUAAAUACUAUCAAAAUGAGUACGUUGUAAGUCAUCCAAAAUGAAAAAUCAGAGAAGAUCUGGUGAGAAAGUUUCUCAUAGACCAAAGAUAAAGUCAAUAACCACUUAAUUGGCAACUGAUUCUGAAUUCUGAAGAGGAAUUGCUGGCAUAACAUCUAAAUUUCCCAUUUAAAAGGUCUUACAUUUGAACAAUUCACUAUAUUACAGAAAGGAUAAUUCAGUAGUUAAAAGCUCAUCUUAAAGUAUAUGUGUAUACAAAGUGUAUCUGUAAAUGUGAUGGCAGGGGAAAAUUUAAAGAUUAAAAUUUUGCUCAUAUUUCUUCACUAACAGCUUGACAACAGCAACAUGUCUACACAGAAUCCUAGAAUGCCUGAGGUGGGAAAGGACCCUUGAAAAUAGUCAAGUCAUACUACUCUGCUCAAAGUAGGGUCCAUGAGGGUUGCUCAGCACCAUGCCCAGCUGGGUUUUGAAUAUCUCCAAAGACACAGAAGCCACAGCCACUCUGUUGUCUUACUCUUGGAAUUGUCUAAAAUACAUGAAACUUAAGAACAAUCAAUAACAAGAAGUGAGCUCAGUCCUUCAGCAAAUCUACAGCUGCAGUCCUGAAGAAAUUAAAUGACAAAGAAAUGGUUUAACACCCCUUAAUUUAUGAAAGUUGGAUUUACGUCACUAACUUGAUUUACCUUAGCUUACUUUGUGUAAUGCAAAAAUGACAGCUCUUUUGUGUAAGGUUUACCCAUCCUGAAGAGAGUACAUGGAGGCAAGAAGUUAACUUUCAUCAGUUUGAUAGAGAGGUCCUCAUGUUACCAGGGGGGCUGGCUGGUGGACACUCCCCCAAGUCCUCAUUACUGGUGGCGGCUGGCUGAUAGAAUGUCUACACUGGGAUUACCUCCAACAGGUUCUGGUGGUGACUCGCUGACAAGAAUUCCACACAACCCACUGGUAGCAUGGCCAUACAUAUAAAUGCAGGAGACAAUAAAGUAUGGUGUAUUAGGAUAAGCAGAGUCAUGGGCAGAAAGCAAGGAUACUUAGUUACUACAGAGAAGUAUUUCUCAAGGGAGUUUCUUCUAGCUGCAUCCAGAAUCUAGAGGCAGUUCACUUGUGUUCCCAAGCCAGCAAGAGCUCUUUCUCAUGGGCUAGUCGCCUGUCCAGGCCGUAUUCAUCUGUAUUUUUCCACAAACUUGGCUACUCUUAUUUAGAAUUGACUGGAAACAGGUUUCCUACUUCAGUUUUCCAACAGCAAGACAUAAAGAAUAAGGAAGGACACGUCCUAUUGGUAAGCAUUUUAACAAUUUGGCUGACAUUGGUCCACUAGAAAAGGCUAUGUAAUCAAAAAUGUACAAUCGCAUUCACAUCAGCUAUAAUAGGCUUGUCACUGUAUCUGCCCUUCGGAUUUCCUAAAAUGUGCUGCACUAAUGUUUGACUGUAAUGUAAGGUAAGAUUUUCUCUGCUGUGACAAUGCAUAGGCUUGAAGAUCUUGUAUUUUCAUGUAAGAGUUAAAUCUUUCAAAACUGAUACCCCAGAUCCAGAGGUAUUAGGAAAGUGAGGAAGAAAUGUCUUGGUUCAGAAAUGGGUUCCUAAUGCCUAUAGAGAUAGCUGAUAGUUGUUCACAAAUGAUCAAAUCAUAAAUGUUGGUUAGUUUAAAAACUCUCUAAAGUGUUAGAGUAAUUUUUUAGUAUUUUUAUUUGAAAUACAGGCCACAAAUAGAUUUCCGUAUAUUUUAGAGGCUGAGACUAUCCCAAAUAUACGAUAUAUGGGAGAUACUCUAAAGUGAUUCACCUAAAUACCGUGGGCCAAGUUUCUGGUCUUAAUGGAGAACUUCUCUUUGUUCUCUGCAGCUUACCUUGGUAAUUUCUUCCAAUUUUAUUAAUAUCUUCUUAGAAUUAUUCCUUAAGGAAGAACCUUGAACUGCAGAUCACCUGCAAUGAACAAAAUUCUUUACCAGCCACAGUGAGAUUCACAAAACAGCAAAAACAGCACAGAACAGCAUAAGCAGAUUAUUCUGAUACAUUAGAAAUAUUGAAUUUCAUUGCUUUGUAUAUAUUUUAACAGAAAAUUUUAAAGUCCUGAGUUAGCACCUGAAUUCCAUUUGAAUAACUUUGCCUCAAAAACCUCAUGUUAUUACCUUGAGACUUAAGACCACCAUCACCACUGAAAUUUUUGAAUUAUUCAGAAAAAUUGAUUGGGUUUUGGUCUGUUUAAAGUCACUGAAGAAAAUGGGAAAGAAAAACAGGUACUUAUACAAAUUCUACAAUCACCUCAAUUUUGUAAUUCCAAAUUUGCAGCACAAGAUCUACAUGACAAAGCAGGAACACUACCUUAAAGCCUUGUUUUCUUGUUUUCCCUGUUCCUUGUUUUCUUUGGCACAAAAGCUUUGUUCAUCAGUAGUCAUACACUUUCAUAUGUACUGGUGUUUGUAGACUUUUAAAAAAUAAGUACUAUUCCUCAGUUUUCUUGUUAAAUAAAUAUUUUCCCAUUCUAAAAUGAAGCAAGGAUUGAAUUGGCUAGCUAGUUUAAGAAGUGAGCAGAUUUGGUAACAAAGCAAGUCACUGAAAUGGCCACAGAGAUUUUCAUGGUGGUCUUAAUGGACUUUGAACAUCUCUCCUGGAAGAACCCCUUUUUCAUGGUCCAGUUUCUGUCUCAGUCAUCAAAAGUUACUUCUAAUUAAAAUACUGUAUCUAGUGGUUUACCAGGAGAAUAAAACAGAAAAUUCCAAUUUUUGUUCCGAAGAACAAAUGUGUGUUUGACAUUUUUGGAGUAACAUUAUAGCACUGCUUCUUAUGUAAGUUUUCCUCCUUCACACAAUUUUCUCUUCUGAAGGAAAAUGAAGCAUUUGUUUUUUGUUGUAAAAAGCGAUUCUUGAAAGAGUUAACAACAAACAAAAGCUUUUCUUGCAAUUUGAAAGAUCUUGGUGACAUGUCAUUUUUCCAGAAAAAAAGUCUGCAAUAGCUCAGGAUUUCCAUGAGUAGUCUGGAUUUCGUGGGAGGAAAGAUGAUGGCAGGAAGUAACUGAGUACAUCUACAGCUGAUUGUCUCAACCUUCCUGGCUCUGAACUAUGUGUGCUAAGUGCUGCCCUAUGUGCAUUUUCAUACAAAGCAGUUUCUUGAAUUAAUAGAAUACAGCAGAAAGGGAUUUGAACUUCCACUCAUCCUGCUACCACUGAUGUGCACCGUAAUUGCCGGGCACAGACAACACAGUCUACUUGUCUCUAUUUUCUUCCUUCGUGAGUCAGAGAGAAUACAAUGAGCGAGCAGUAGUUAGAAUUGGUCAGAUUAGUAAAUGAAUAAGCUAUUUAGUGUAAUGAAUAAAGCAUUAUUCAAAGUCUGCUUUUUAAAUACCCUUUUCCUCAGCUCAGUGAGCCUUGAAAAAAGGCAUAUCAGAAACUAGACAUUACUAGACAUUACUUCCAAGCUGAAUUUACCCCUUUACAAGGGGUCACCGUUUACAGAAAAAGCAGAUCAAUACAUUGAAAAGGGUAACAGUAUGAAUGACUGCGAGAAAAGUAGAGAAACAAAAUCUGUGGUUCACAUGUGUUGCUCUGUUGUGCUCAUGGGUGAGCAUUCACAUGAGAAGAGAUGCCUUUAUUUUGCCCACUAAAAUUCUCCUUAUGUUUUCUUUCCAGCAAGUGGAGAAACUCCUCCAGACGUAGUCACUGCAGAAGCCUGCGGUCAGUGCACAGCUCGCUGCCUGCGGGAACCACCUUCUUCACAGGCUUCUGGAAAAUAAGCACAUUGCUCAGCCAUGUUAGGUCUUUCAUGUUGCGUGCUCCACACUAAAGAAAUAAGCUAGCAUUGUGAAAGAGACUGCCUGGUGACCGUCCCACCAUCUCUGUUGCUCACAGGAAACCACUACUGCUGCACUUGGGACAAUACUGAUUCUUCUGUGUCUGAAGUUGUGGCUUCAAAUUGCAGUAAAGCUGAUAAAAUAACCAGCUGCUGUGAAAAGAAGUGUCCUCAUACUUCCCCUCUUGCAUGUAAUCUCCCUUGUGCUAGCUGUGGUCUGUGCCUGGUCCCAUGGUAAACUGGUGCAGGGAGAUGGCCAGCAACAUGCCACCCUCCUCAAAGAAGUAGUUCUCAGUGUGGAGUUGUCUUAGUCAAGUUUGUCAUUAAACAGCAGCAAGCACAAGAAACUACUGAGCAUUUUUUUCACAUGUGCAGGAAAAGAUUGAGGUUGUUUUAUUAUUUUACAAACCAAAAGAUCCAAAAUACCCCGUAUGGUAUUUUAUUACAUUAUCUCUUAUUCCUUGGAACCUAUCAUAGAAGGCCUCAUAAUUAAUAAAUAAAUAAAUAAAUAAAUAAAUAAAUAAAUAAAGGGAAUAUAGCAAACAAACCAAACCAGUAGGCUAGGAGCUGGAAAACAAAACCAUCUAAAUAUAAAUAAAUUGUGGACACCUUGUAACACAAAAUUCCUACGCAUUGUCAUCUGUUGAUUAUUACAGUUUCAUUUAGUUUGGAGUUUGCUUUAUUUUCAUGCAACUUUUGUCUAUCCAAAUAAUUACAGUUGUAUUGCUGUAUUAGUUUGAAUCUAGUCAUUGAGACGAAUAGAAGAGCCCAUCUCUGUCAUUCUGGCCAAUAUUACAUUCUAUUACAUAAGAAAUGGGAAUUAAACAUAAGAUAUGGGAAUUAAAUCAAUUUUAAUACACCAUUGUAAUAAGAAGACAAGUGUAGUUCUAGAUUGCAAUUAUGGAGAUAAUUACAAUUUCAUUGGUAUUGCUUAGGUUUAAGAAUGCAAAGUUUACCUUGGGUGAACAUUUCAUUAUCUAGGAUGAAUCCAAGCUAUUUUUCUUCUAAAUCAUAUCUUGGCUUAUUUCCUAACUUUGACUGUUUAAUAGAAACAUAGAGAAUUUUACAGGUAGACUAUAUCAAAACAGGCUAGCUGGUUCAACUCCAAAUUACUGUACAGUGAUUUGAGAAAAAACAUUAAUUUUGAAGGAGCUCUGGAGGCUGAGUAUAAAGAUUAUUAAACAUAAGUUUUAUAUAUGCAGAAAAAUUGCUUUUGCAUGAAUUCACUUUUAAAAUGUUAAUAUAUGCAUAAGAAAAUUGUGUUUCUUAAUCUCUGAAGAAACACUUAUCACUAGGAACCACUUAAUUCUUUUCCUGCGCUUGAUUUAUUAGCUUAUGAAAUUAUGCUAAUAGUUUGCAUGCUAAUGGUUUUGGGGCUCAAAUGACCUGAUUUUAAUAAUGAAGUAAUUUAUGCAGUAAAUGCAGUCAUCAUCUAUGAAUCUUACUUAAAAGAACAUAUCAGUGAUUACUUAUGCUAAAACCAAAUGCCUGUCAAUACGGCACACAGUAUUUGUCAUGACAGGGAAAUGGGAUAUGCUCAGCCCAGUACACCCUUUAGGAUGGUUGGGUCCCACACUGCUGAGCUACACCAAGGCCUGCAACGACAACUCUCUUAACAGUUUAUGAAACUCAUUGUCAGCCAACUUCCUUGCAUGAGCUCCUUGGAGGGAAAAAGACAAUGGCAGGAAAUGGAUGGAACCAGGAAUGAAGUCUAACCUGGAACCAGUAAGUUCUCCUCUGUGAGUAGGAGAUCUCAGUGGCACAGACACCAUACACCUUGGCGGAGGAGAUUGUGGGAAGAAAGUUUGUCUUUGGGUGAGAAGAUUUAAUCUUUACAAGAAAAGGAGCACUUUUAUUAAGGCCAUGAGCUGCAUGACAUCUUAGAGGUGCAACCCCUUGCAACAUCUGGGAAGCCUGUGUGUAACAGAUCCUUCACAAAGAUGCUUUCCUAAAACAUCUGUAUAGAUCUGCUCACUGCAAAACUGUAUUUGAAUCUGUCCCCCACAUAAUUUACUGUCCUGUUCUCCAACGUGAGGAGAAAUUCAUGACUUCAUUCUGAAAAGAAUACAGCCAUGGUUUCUUUGCAGUAAUGUAAGCUUGUGUUUUGAUAACCCGCUGAACAUCAAUAUUCACUUUGGUAUAAAAAAAUAAAAAAUAUAUUCUUAGCUGCCAAAGAUAAUCUAACAGUUCAAACACCCAGACAGAAGCUGGGAGAGGUCAGACUGGAUGUUAUCCAAAAUGUAUAAAGUCAAUAGAAGAACUGGAUCAUCCCCUCCCCAUAGAAGCUCC